rnacentral:rRNA from 1 species
CUGAUCCAGCCAUGCCGCGUGUGUGAAGAAGGCCCUCGGGUUGUAAAGCACUUUCAGCGAGGAAGAACGCCUAGCGGUUAAUACCCGCUAGGAAAGACAUCACUCGCAGAAGAAGCACCGGCUAACUCCGUGCCAGCAGCCGCGGUAAUACGGAGGGUGCAAGCGUUAAUCGGAAUUACUGGGCGUAAAGCGCGCGUAGGUGGCUUGAUAAGCCGGUUGUGAAAGCCCCGGGCUCAACCUGGGAACGGCAUCCGGAACUGUCAAGCUAGAGUGCAGGAGAGGAAGGUAGAAUUCCCGGUGUAGCGGUGAAAUGCGUAGAGAUCGGGAGGAAUACCAGUGGCGAAGGCGGCCUUCUGGACUGACACUGACACUGAGGUGCGAAAGCGUGGGUAGCAAACAGGAUUAGAUACCCUGGUAGUCCACGCCGUAAACGAUGUCGACCAGCCGUUGGGUGCCUAGCGCACUUUGUGGCGAAGUUAACGCGAUAAGUCGACCGCCUGGGGAGUACGGCCGCAAGGUUAAAACUCAAA